UGUUAAGUUCGACAUACGCUAAGUUUUUCCAACUUCAAACGACACUAACUUCUCUAUCAGGAUGAGAUAGGUGUAUUUCAAAAUAUGGAUGUAAAGAUCUUGAAAUAACUUUUCCAAUGAAACGAAGACCGCAAUUUUAAUUUUGAUUGAGUAAGUUAUUCCCUUUGGAAGUUGGUUGUUUGAAUAAGGAAAUGUCCAAUCCGGAUGUUAGAAUGGUAGUUUCAUUUUUUCCUUAUCGUUUUAGUUUAAUUUUUUUUUGUAAAUCCUUAGCAUUCUAAACUGAACUUAUUUAGUUUACUCAUUAUAAAAAUUGAUUAGGGUUUUUGGAGAAAAUAUCACUAGCUUACUCUAUGACCCGAGUAGAAUGGGGCAUGUGAAAUCCCGUGUUAAUCAACAAGGACCACCUUGCAAGGCUAAGUACAACUGGGUGACAGAUUGGGAAGCAUUAGCAUAUGGGUAGGGUGAAAAGGACCCACAUGGAGGAGUUAAAUAGAACAUGAAAUCGUUAGCACCCAAGCAAUGGGAGGAGCUAGGGUUGUGACCGCUUGCCUAUUGAAGAAUGAGCCAGCGACACAUAGGCAGUGGCUUGGUUAAGGGAACGUACCAGAGACAUAGAGAAAGUGAGUCUUCAUAGGGCAAUUCUAACUACUUAUGGACCAGAACCUGCGUGAUCUAUCCAUGACAAGGAUGACGCUUGGUCGAAACUAAGUCGAUGUCUGAAUCGAAUGAUAUUGUAGAAUCAACAUAUUAUUUAUAGUUAGUGGUAAAAUGCCACUAGAACCUAGAUUUAGUUUGUUAUACACGAAAUGCGUUGAGGCAUAGCAGUUGACUAGACAUAUAGGAGUAAAACACUAUUUCGAUGUGGGCCGCAAGAGUGGUACAAAAUCGAGGCAAAAUCUAAAUACUAGAUAUGACCUAAAACUAAUAGGGGUCAAGGUCGGCUAGUGAGACAAUUAGGGGUAAGUUUCAUUGUAGAGACGGAAACAACCCUGAUCACCAAAUAAGGACCCUAAAUGACCGCUACGUGAUAAAAGAGGUAGGGAUGCAGAGACAGGCAGGAGGUUUGCCUAGAAGCAUCCACCCUUGAAAGACUGGUAAUAGCUCACUAAUCGAGCGUUAUUGCACCGAAGAUGAAUAGGGAUAGAAGGUCUGCCAAAGCUGUGGAAUGUAAAAAUUAAUUGGUAGCGGAGAGUUCCGCCUUAGAAAGAAGCCUCCACACGAGAGGUGGUGGAAGAAGUAGAAGGGAUAAUGUCGGCUUCAGCAGCGCAAACAUUGGUGAAAAUCCAAUACCUCAAAAACCUAAGGGUAUCUCCGCAUGGUUCAUCCAUGGAGGGUGAAUCAAGUCCUAACAUCAGGCCGAGAGGUGUAAUCGAUAGAUAAUAGGUGAAUAUUACUAUAAUACCCCUUCUUAGUCCUGAGGGACGGAGGAGGCUAGGUUAACAAAAAGAUGGUUAUCGGUUAAAAAACGUAAGUUGUUCCUACUUUUUAAGGGUAAGAAAGAGCAGAGAAAAUGCCUCGAGCCAAUGUUUGAAUAUGAGUCUCUACAUCGCUGAAGUAACACAUGCCAUACUGUUAGGAAAAGAUUGAAUGACGUUAAGAAAGAGUGUACCUGUACCUGAAACUGACAUACGUGAGUAGUUAGAGAUACCUAGGGGUGUGAUAUAACUCUCUCUUAAGAACUCAGUUAAAUAGCAUUGUUACUUCAGGAGAAGGGGUUCCUCCUCACAAUAGGGGUCGUAGUGUCUAGGCCCGGUUGACUAUUUACCAAAAUCAAAGAUGUCUACAAUGUUGUAAGACCAUAUAUGGGAGUCGUCGCCUUCUAAGUGACGGAAGGUCAAGGAAGGUUGUAACCUGAUAACAGGGGAGCCGAAGACUGAAUCCCUGGAGAAUGGAGUCUGUACCUAUAACAGUUCAAUAGCAAAAUUUAUUGUUGGGUAAGUUUUGACCCACAUGAAAGGUGAAAUAGUCUAGGCAAUGUUUUGGAGAGAUGCUUGGUUAAAUAGACAUCUCUAUGAAGAUGCGCACUACCUGCACCUAGAUAGAAAGACCCUAUGAAGCUUCUCUGUUCACUGGGAUCGGCUUUGGGCCUUCCGUGCGCAACUUUGGUGGAAGGAGAAGAAGUCUUCAUUGCAUGGGACCAAGCAAUCAAUGAGAUACCACUCUGGAUAUACUAGAAUUCUAACCUUCUUUAGAAAAUUUCUAUGGGGCAUAGGCCUCCCAAAAGGUAACUGAGGCAUGCAAACUUUCCUUGGGCCGGAUAGUGAUUGUCCUUUCAUUGCUAAAGUAGAAGGGAGCUUGACUGCAUGACCUACCCAUUGAGUAGGGAUGAAAAUCGGGCUUAGUGAUAUGAUGGUGCCGAGAGGAAGGGCCAUCGUUUCAAUGAUUAAAAUUUACUCUAGGAUAACACGUUGAUCUUCCCCAAUAUCUCAAAUCAAUGGUAUGGUUUGGCACGUCGAUGUAACCUCUUCGUCACCUUGUUUUGUAGUAUGUUCUAAUAGUUUGAUUGUUUACUCAUUAAAGGAGAACGUGAGCUAGGUUUAGAACGUCGUGAGACAGUUUGGUCCAUUCCUUGUGUGGGAGUAAGAGAAUUGGAUGGACUUUUCCCUAGUACAAGAGGACGGGGAAGGACGCACCUUUGGUGUACCCAUUAUCGUGCCCACGGUAAAUGCUGGGUAGCAAAGUGCGUAGCAGAUAACAACUUAAAGCAUCUAAGUAGAUAUCCCUCCCAAUGAUGAGUGCUCUUAUUUUUUACUUCCCAAGAUCUUAUGGUUACACAACCGAGACAUCGACGGGUUCUCUGCCCCUGAGGGUAUGGAGCGACUAAAGUUUUUUUUGAGAAUUAAAUAGAGGUCACGUCAAGACGAGCGAUUUAUCAUUACAAUAUGUGUCAAGUGAAAGUGAAGUAAUGUAUGAAACUAAGGUAUCCUAAGAGACCGGUGGACUUGAACAUU
rfam:Solanum lycopersicum cultivar Heinz 1706 chromosome 3, whole genome shotgun sequence.